UACGAAGGGUGCAAGCGUUAAUCGGAAUUACUGGGCGUAAAGGGUGCGUAGGCGGUUGUUUAAGUCUGUCGUGAAAUCCCCGGGCUCAACCUGGGAAUGGCGAUGGAUACUGGGCAGCUAGAGUGUGUCAGAGGAUGGUGGAAUUCCCGGUGUAGCAGUGAAAUGCGUAGAGAUCGGGAGGAACACCAGUGGCGAAGGCGGCCUUCUGGACCAGUACUGACGCUCAUGCACGAAAGCGUGGGGAGCAAACAGG
rnacentral:rRNA from 1 species